rnacentral:lncRNA from 1 species
UACGCAUGUGUCAUGCAUAAAAUUUGAUUUGCUACUGUGAAUAUUUAUUUGCAAUUUCAAUUUUUCAUUCAAUUAUUAUUAUUAUCAUUUGCAUGAUGCUUUUAAUUACUAUUUAAAUAUGUUUUUCCUUUAUUACCAAUUUUAAUAUUGCAUGAUGACUCAGGAUGGGACGGCAGUAGAACAUAGGAGUUGGAUGAGUGUCCCAAUAUAAUCCGAGAGAGAUAGGGAAAGGGUAAAGAGGUAAAAAAAAAAUUUUAAGAAAGAAAGAUUAGGACCUGCCCUGGUCGAGCAUCGCUCUCUGGGCUUAGUAGAGUGUGGUUGCCGGAGUAAAGGUCCCUGGUCGAGCAUUGCUCUCGGGGCGCCAGUCUUAUUGGAUUAAGAGAGCCGAAUGGCUACUAGAUUUCUUAUUUGGAUAUUUAAGUGACCAGACUGGAGGUAAAGUCCCUGGUCGAGCAUUGCUCUCGGGGCGCCAGUCUUAUUGGAUUAAGAGAGCCGAAUGGCUAUUAGAUUUCUUAUUUGGAUAUUUAAGUGACCAGACUGGAGGUAAGGUCCCUGGUCGAGCAUUGCUCUCGGGGCGCCAGUCUUAUUGGAUUAAGAGAGCCGAAUGGCUACUAGAUUUCUUAUUUGGAUACUUAAGUGACCAGACUGGAGGUAAGGUCCCUGGUCGAGCAUUGCUCUCGGGGCGCCAGUCUUAUUGGAUAAGAGAGCCAAAAGGCUAAGGCUGAGAGUUAAGUGACCGGACUGGAGGUAAGGUCCCUGGUCGAGCUUUGCUCUCUGGGCGCCAGUCCUGUUGGAAUGAGAGGUUUGAGAUGUUAGAGUUGAGGUUAGUUGAGACAUAAGUGUUGAAAUAAUCGAGAUUUUAGAGUUGGGAUUAGAGUUCUACUGAAGUACUCCGUCCCGUUGCAUGUGGAAUAAAUUUUGUUUAAGCAUGGCAUGACACAUAUGUUUUAACAUGACACGUAUGGUUCGCGUGAUUUAUUAAUUAUUUUAAAAUUAAAUAAGGUGACAUUGAGAUAUUUGAAACUGUUUUAGAUAUAUGAUUUUAACUCACUCUCGAGACUGACAGUCUCCAUUUAUGUUUUUUUUCAGAUUCGUGACUGUUAGUUCUCUCGCGACUCUUAUUCAGUAACCCGACUCCUUCAUCGGGUGAUGUAUUUGAUUUGGUAUGUAAAUUGGUAAAUCUUAGAUUCUCCGCAGUAGUAAUAGUAAAUGUAUCAGUUGUAAAUUUUCUGAGCUUCGGGUCUCGCCUAGUUUUUUUUCUGGUAGACCGAAGUAAUUUUGUAAAGUGUAACUAUUAAGAUGAUUUGUGGUUUUAAUAAUAUUAAUUUGAGAUGAG